rnacentral:rRNA from 1 species
GUCUUCUUGAUUUAAUGAUUUGAAGUCUGGCCUGCCCAAUGAUUUUAUUUAAUGGCCGCAGUAAUUUGACUGUGCAAAGGUAGCAUAAUAAUUAGUUUUUUAAUUGGAGACUGGAAUGAAAGGUUUGACGAACGGGGAGCUGUCUCAUUACUUAUAGUUUAAUUUAAUUACUACUUUAAAAGGAGUAGAUUUUAUUGAGGGACGAAAAGACCCCGUCAAGUUUUACAUAAACCCUUAAGGGUUUUCUUGUUCUUACAGAGUUUGUGUUUAGCUGGGGCGGCUUUUAAAUUAUUAACUUUAUUUAUUUUUAUAAUCUGAAAUUUAUAUUUUUAACUUAUUAUAACUUAUUUUUAAAUUACUGCGGGGGUAACAGCGUAAUUAAUUUUUGGAGUUCAAAUCGAAAUAUUAGAUUGCGACCUCGAUGUUGGAUUAAUAUAACCUUUAGGUGAAGAAGCUUAAUUGGUGAGUCUGUUCGACUUAUAAUAUAUUACA